AUAGUCCAAUUAAAGAUAAAAACUUAGUAUAUGCUCAAGUUUCAAUUGACCUCUUUUUCCAACCUUGAUACCUAUCUUCCAAUGCUAGAAUCUCUCUUUUGCACCCUUCAAUUUCUCUUAAAUUUUGUAAAAUUAUUGAAAUUCAACUUUUAUACAACUUAAAUCGCCUAAAAUCAAUAUCUAAGCAAAUCCUAAUAAGUUUGUCCUCAAUUUCUGCUCUUUCAUCAAAAAAAAAUAUCUAAUAUUAUCCUAAGUGCAUGGUUUCAUACCUUGAAAUCUGAUUUUGAUCUAAGUUCACAACUUGUCCUCUAAAAGUAUUAACAUUUAGUUUUUUAAGGUAAUUUUAGAUAAAAGAUAUUAGUUACUUUUAUUUAAAUAUACCCAUUGAUACUAAUAUUUUUAAUCUACCUUUUUUAUCUUUUUUUUGAUCCUACAAAGUAAAUAAAAUCCUUAAUUUUAAAAAAAAAAAAAAAAAAAAAAAAAAAAAAAAAUGACAUUACAACUUAUUAAUUUUACUACAUCUAUAACUAUUAUCUAUAAAACCUAAUAAAAUCCUAAAUCGAUCCUAACCAAAUCCUAACCAAACCUUAAUAAAAUCCUAAAUCAAUCCUAAUCAAACUCUAAUGUAAUCCUAAUGAAAUCCUAAAUAUAUUUU
rnacentral:lncRNA from 1 species